AGUCAUGAGGAGGCAGAAGGUCUAGGAAGAAGCUCACCCAGAGGAGGAAAUAAAGUCUCCUGCCGACAGCCAGCUGCAACUUGUUCUGCAUGUGAGCAAGCCGUCAUAGCAGAGAUUCUUCUAGAACAAACCAAGGCAGAGGCCAACCGAGUCGGUGCAAAUCAGAUGCUAACGGCAACCCCUCCGCCCAGAAAUCCCAAGUGGAAGGACGCCUCUCGUGAAAUUGCCUUCCGUGACAGUUACAGACAGCCUGAAGGGAAUACCUGUCCAGGUGAUACGGGACAAGAAAAACACCACGAUGUAAGCAUCGUUUCUACAGAUCUCACAACAGGCCCCAAGCCAACCCCGUUGGGAUUCGUAUCAUGCUUUGUUGCACCAGAUGAAGUCUGAUCUGGGACCGUGCCAGAAAACACGGAAGGAAGACGAGAAAGGGUGAAGAGCUUCUAAAUUAGAUUCUGCUGGGGCCAGGAAAGCAGACACGACUGCCGUGGAGAAGGUCAAUGCAAGCAUUUUAAAAUCGUGUCUUCCUUUUCAUGAUAAUCAAACAUUAAAAUGAGUGCAUUCUCUGCUCUCUGGAAAA
rnacentral:lncRNA from 1 species